UUUUUACCGCUAGAUGGUGUUUUUUAUGAAAAUCUGAUUGGCUUGCAAUUGCUUGAAAUAUACGUUACCAUGGAAACAAUGUGACCUUUUCUGUGAAUCAAAUUUGUUUAAAUCGUUCAUAUUUACUUUUAUUUAUUCUGUUAUGAUUCCGUUUGUUGGUUUAAGGCUGAAUUAUUCUGGUUUUGUCAAGUGACUUGUCGAAUUGGCUUUCAAAAGGCUUCAGAAAUUAUUGACUCUGAUGCUAAGGAUUAUCAAUCAACUUCAACAGGAGGCGGUGGCAGCUAUCUCCACUUCCAGCAUGGUAUCAGUCACAAUAAAAGCAAUCGAGUUAUCAAUUUGA